AUGAAGCUCUCCCUGGUGGCCGCGAUGCUGCUGCUGCUCAGCGUGGCGCGGGCCAAGGAGGAGGACGUGGGUACGGUGGUUGGCAUCCAUCUGGGGACCACCUACUUCUGUGUAGGCGUGUUCAAGAACAGCUGCGUGGAGAUCAUUACCAACGAUCAGGGCAACCGCAUCACGCCGUCCUAUGUGGCCUUCACUCCUGAAGGGAAAUGUCUGAUCAGCGUUGCAGCCAAGAACCAGCUCAUCUCCAACCCCGAGAACACGCUCUUUGACGCCAAGCAGCUCAUCGGCCGCAGGUGGCAUGACCCGUCUCUGCAGCAGGACAUCAACUUCUUGCCAUUCAAGGUGGUUGAAAAGAAAACUAAACCAUACAUUCAAAUUGAUAUUGGAGGUGGGCAAACAAAGACAUUUGCUCCUGAAGAAAUUUCUGCAAUGGUUCUCACUAAAAUGAAAGAAAACGCUGAGGCUUAUUUGGGAAAGAAGGUUACCCAUGCAGUUGUUACUAUACCAGCCUAUUUCAAUGAUGCCCAAUGCCAAGCAACCAAGGACUCUGGAACUAUUGCUGACCUAAAUGCUAUGAGGAUCAUCAAUGAGCCUACAGCAGCAGCUACUGCUUAUGGCCUGGAUAAGAGGGAGGGGGAGAAGAACAUCCUGGUGUUUGACCUGGGUGGUGAAACCUUCUAUGUGUUUCUUCUCACCAUUGACAAUGGUGUCUUCAAAGUUGUGGCCACUAAUGGAGAUACUCAUCUGGGUGGAGAAGACUUUGACCAGCGUGUCAUGGAACACUUCAUCAAACUGUACAAAAAGAAGACUGGCAAAGACGUCAGGAAAGACAAUAGAGCUGUGCAGAAACUCCGGCACAAGGUAGAAAAGGCCAAACGGGUCCUGUCUUCUCAACAUCAAGCAAGCAAUAAUUGAAACUGAGUCCUUCUAUGAAGGAGAAGACUUUUCUGAGACCCUGACUCGGGCCAAAUUUGAAGAGCUCAACUGGAUCUGUUCCGGUCUACUAUGAAGCCUAUCCAGAAAGUGUUGGAAGACCCUGAUUUGAAGAAGUCUGACAUUGAUGAAACUGUUCUUGUUGGUGGCUUUACUCAAAUUCCAAAGAUUCAGCAACUGGUUAAAGAGUUCUUCAAUGGCAAGGAACCAUCCCAUGGCAUAAGCCCAUAUGAAGCUGUAGCAUAUGGUGCUGCUGUCCAGGCUGGUGUGCUCUCUGGUGAUCAAGAUACAGAUGACCUGGUACUGCUUGAUAUAUGUCCCCUUACACUUGGUAUUGAAACUGUGGGAGGUGUCAUGACCAAACUGAUUCCAAGGAACACAGUGGUGCCAACCAAGAAGUCUCAGAUCUUUUCUACAGCUUCUGAUAAUCAACCAACUGUUACAAUCAAGAUCUAUGAAGGUGAACAACCCCUGACAAAAGACAAUCAUCUUCUGGGUACAUUUGAUCUGACUAGAAUUCCUCCUGCUCCUCGUGGGGUCCCACGGAUUGAAGUCACCUUUGAGAUGGAUGUGAAUGGUAUUCUUCGAGUGACAGCCGAAGACAAGGGUACAAGGAACAAAAAUAAGAUCACAAUUACCAAUGACCAGAAUCGCCUGACACCUGAAGAAAUCGAAAGGAUGGUUAAUGAUGCUGAGAAGUUUGCUGAGGAAGACAAAAAGCUCAAGGAGUGCAUUGAUACUAGAAAUGAGUUGGAAAGCUAUGCCUGUUCUCUAAAGAAUCAGAUUGGAGAUAAAGAAAAGCUGGGAGGUAAACUUUCCUCUGAAGAUAAGGAGACACGGAAAAAGCUGUAGAAGAAAAGACUGAAUGGCUGGGAAGCCACCAAGAUGCUGACACUGAAGACUUCAAAGCUAAGAAGAAGGAACUGGAAGAAAUUGUUCAACCAAUUAUCAGCAAACUCCAUGGAAGUGCAGGCCCUCCCCCAGCUGGGGAAGAGGAUACAGCGGAAAAAGAUGAGCUGUAG